rnacentral:ncRNA from 1 species
CAACCUCAACUCAUAUGGGACUACCCCCUGAAUUUAAGCAUAUUAAUUAGGGGAGGAAAAGAAACUAACAAGGAUUUUCUUAGUAGCGGCGAGCGAAAAGAAAUCAGUUCAGCACUAAGUCACUUUGUCUAUAUGGCAAAUGUGAGAUGCAGUGUACGGAACAUCAACAUUCUAGUAUGAGAAGUUAACGAUUUAAGUCCUUCUUAAAUGAGGCCAUUUACCCAUAGAGGGUGCCAGGCCCGUAUAACGUUAAUGAUUACUAGAUGGUGUUUCCAAAGAGUCGUGUUGCUUGAUAGUGCAGCACUAAGUGGGUGGUAAACUCCAUCUAAAACUAAAUAUAACCAUGAGACCGAUAGUAAACAAGUACCGUGAGGGAAAGUUGAAAAGAACUCUGAAUAGAGAGUUAAAUAGUACGUGAAACUGCUUAGAGGUUAAGCCCGAUGAACCUGAAUAUCCGUUAUGGAAAAUUCAUCAUUAGAAUUGUAAUAUUUUAAACAAUAUUAUAAUAAUAGUGUGCAUUUUUUCCAUAUAAGGACAUUGUAAUCUAUUAGCAUAAAUAUUUAUCAUAAAAUUAUGUCUGAUUGCUUAUUUGAAUUAUAUGCUUGGCAUUUUAACAUAAAAUAAAAGAUAUAAAUUUGAUAAAGUGCUGAUAGAUUUAUAUGAUUACAGUGCGUUAAUUUUUCGGAAUUAUAUAAUGGCAUAAUUAUCAUUGAUAUUUGUGUUUAUUAUAUGCAUUUGUAUGAUUAACCAUGGCAAAGAAUCCAGGUUCCUUCCGGAACCGUCCUGGAACCACGGACCAGGAGUCUAAACUAUGGUGCAGUUAAUGGGAUAUAACCCUAUUACCGUAUUUACUUGACUAAUAAUGGGAUUAGGUUUUUUACUAUUUAAUAGUUAUUUAACGCAAUCCCGGGCGCUCUAUUAUAGUAAUGUAUAAUAUUAUUAAUAUAAUUAAUGGCUUCUACUUGAACGUACUUUGAGCAUAUAUGCUGUGACCCCGAAGAUGGUGACUAAUACUUGAUCAGGUUGAG